GCGAACGGGGAGGAGCCCAGAGCCUGAAUCAGCAUGUGUGUUAGUGGAAGCGUCUGGAAAGGCGCGCGAUACAGGGUGACAGCCCCGUACACAAAAGCGCAUGUGCUGUGAGCUCGAUGAGUAGGGCGGGACACGUGGUAUCCUGUCUGAAUAUGGGGGGACCAUCCUCCAAGGCUAAAUACUCCUGACUGACCGAUAGUGAACCAGUACCGUGAGGGAAAGGCGAAAAGAACCCCGGCGAGGGGAGUGAAAAAGAACCUGAAACCGUGUACGUACAAGCAGUGGGAGCACAGGUUUACCUG
rnacentral:rRNA from 1 species